GACGAACGCUGGCGGCGUGCCUAAUACAUGCAAGUCGAACGCAGUGGGGACGGGUGAGUAACACGUGGGUAACCUCCCAUCAGAGGGGAUAACACUUGGAAACAGGUGCUAAACCGAUACUGAUGGAUGGACCCGCGGGGCAUUAGCUAGUUGGUGAGGUAAAGGCUCACAAAGGCCACGAUGCAUAGCCGCCUUUAGAGGGUGUUCGGCCACUAUGGGACUGCGACACGGCCCAGACUCCUACGGGAGGCAGCAGUAUGGAAUCUUCGGCAAUGGACGAAAGUCUGACCGAGCAACGCCGCGUGAGUGAAGAAGGUUUUCGGAUCGUAAAACUCUGUUGUUAGAGAAGCGGUAUCUAACCAGAAAGCCACGGCUAACUACGUGCCAUCAGCCGCGGUAAUAC
rnacentral:rRNA from 1 species